rnacentral:rRNA from 1 species
CUUUACUGUAACUUGAGAUUGAAUUUGGGUUUGUUUUGCGCAGUAUAGGUGGGAAGCUAAGAUUAUAUGCUCGCGGGUGUAUAUAAGCUGCCAGUGAGAUACCACUCUAAAUAAACUAGAAUUCUAACUUUGGAAGCCGUUAACCGGCCGGAGAACAGUCUCAGGUGGGCAGUUUGACUGGGGCGGUCGCCUCCUAAAAAGUAACGGAGGCGUACAAAGGUUUCCUCAGGCUGGUCGGAAAUCAGUCAUAGAGUACAAAGGCAUAAGGAAGCUUGACUGUAAGACCUACAAGUCGAACAGAGACGAAAGUCGGUCUUAGUGAUCCGACAGUUCUGAGUGGAAAGGCUGUCGCUCAACGGAUAAAAGUUA